rnacentral:rRNA from 1 species
GACGAACCGUGCGAACGUUAUUCGGAAUCACUGGGCUUAAAGCGUGUGUAGGCGGGUCUGCGCGGCGGGUGUUGAAAUCCCCCGGCUCAACCGGGGAACGGGCACCGAUACGGGCGGCCUCGAGGGGGGUAGGGGGGUCUGGAACUUCCGUUGGAGCGGUGAAAUGCGUUGAGAUCGGAAGGAACGCCCGUGGCGAAAGCGAGGCCCUGGACCCUUUCUGACGCUGAGACGCGAAAGCCAGGGGAGCGAACGGG